rnacentral:rRNA from 1 species
UACGUAGGGCGCAAGCGUUGUCCGGAAUUAUUGGGCGUAAAGAGCUCGUAGGCGGCUUGUCACGUCGGGGGUGAAAGCCCGGGGCUUAACCCCGGGUCUGCAUUCGAUACGGGCUAGCUAGAGUGUGGUAGGGGAGAUCGGAAUUCCUGGUGUAGCGGUGAAAUGCGCAGAUAUCAGGAGGAACACCGGUGGCGAAGGCGGAUCUCUGGGCCAUUACUGACGUUGAGGAGCGAAAGCGUGGGGAGCGAACAGG